rnacentral:rRNA from 1 species
GACGAACGCUGGCGGCGUGCUUAACACAUGCAAGUCGAACGGAAAGGCCCUGCUUUUGUGGGGUGCUCGAGUGGCGAACGGGUGAGUAACACGUGAGUAACCUGCCCUUGACUUUGGGAUAACUUCAGGAAACUGGGGCUAAUACCGGAUAGGAGCUCCUGCUUCAUGGUGGGGGUUGGAAAGUUUCGGCGGUUGGGGAUGGACUCGCGGGUUAUCAGCUUGUUGGUGGGGUAGUGGCUUACCAAGGCUUUGACGGGUAGCCGGCCUGGGAGGGUGGCCGGGCACAAUAGGCCUACGAGAGGGCGCAGACUCGUACGGGAGGCAGUGGUGGGGAGUCUUACGCAGUAGGGGGGAGCCUGUUAUAGCGACGCCCGGUGCGGAAUGCCGGCUUUCGGGUGAUGAACCGCUGUCGCAUGUGAUGAAGCCUGAGUGACGGUAAUGAGUAAAGAAGCACCGGCUAACUACGUG